GACGAACGCUGGCGGCGUGCUUAACACAUGCAAGUCGAACGGAAAGGCCCUGCUUUUGUGGGGUGCUCGAGUGGCGAACGGGUGAGUAACACGUGAGUAACCUGCCCUUGACUUUGGGAUAACUUCAGGAAACUGGGGCUAAUACCGGAUAGGAGCUCCUGCUGCAUGGUGGGGGUUGGAAAGUUUCGGCGGUUGGGGAUGGACUCGCGGCUUAUCAGCUUGUUGGUGGGGUAGUGGCUUACCAAGGCGUUGACGGGUAGCCGGCCUGAGAGGGUGACCGGCCACAUUGGGACUGAGAUACGGCCAAGACUGCUACGGGAGGCAGCAGUGGGGAAUAUUGCACAAUGGGCGGAAGCCUGAUGCAGCAACGCCGCGUGCGGGAUGACGGCCUUCGGGUUGUAAACCGCUUUCGCCUGUGACGAAGCGUGAGUGACGGUAAUGGGUAAAGAAGCACCGGCUAACUACGUG
rnacentral:rRNA from 1 species